rnacentral:rRNA from 1 species
GACGACCGCUGGCGGCGUGCUUAACACAUGCAAGUCGAACGGAAAGGCCCUGCUUUUGUGGGGUGCUCGAGUGGCGAACGGGUGAGUAACACGUGAGUAACCUGCCCUUGACUUUGGGAUAACUUCAGGAAACUGGGGCUAAUACCGGAUAGGAGCUCCUGCUGCAUGGUGGGGGUUGGAAAGUUUCGGCGGUUGGGGAUGGACUCGCGGCUUAUCAGCUUGUUGGUGGGGUAGUGGCUUACCAAGGCUUUGACGGGUAGCCGGCCUGAGAGGGUGACCGGCCACAUUGGGACUGAGAUACGGCCCAGACUCCUACGGGAGGCAGCAGUGGGGAAUAUUGCACAAUGGGCGGAAGCCUGAUGCAGCAACGCCGCGUGCGGGAUGACGGCCUUCGGGUUGUAAACCGCUUUCGCCUGUGACGAAGCGUGAGUGAUGGUAAUGGGUAAAGAAGCACCGGCUAACUACGUG